AGUACAGUGGCGUACGGGUGAGUAACACGUGGAUCAUCUACCUUUUAGUGGGGAAUACCACUGGGAAACCGGUGACAAUACCGCAUAAUCUCGAGAGAGGAAAGCCGCAAGGCGCUGAAAGAGGAGUCCGCGGCCGAUUAGCUAGUUGGUAGGGUAAUGGCCUACCAAGGCUUCGAUCGGUAGCCGGCCUGAGAGGGCACACGGCCACACUGGCACUGAAACACGGGCCAG
rnacentral:rRNA from 1 species